AGGAUACUUCUUUGGAUGAAGCCGGGCCUGUGAAGCAGUCCCUGAACUUGAGAAGCUCUUCAUGGGAUAUCCUAGAGGAGGAAAUGAAAUGGGACUUCUUUCGCCAAGGUUUCUCUGGGAUUUUCUUUCCCUGGAAUGUUUGCCUUCCCCUUGGGAUCCCAGCCAAAUGCUGCUGCUUUCAUGAAGCCUUCUUCAACCUCCCAGACCCCUCUUCUCUGAAUGCAGGUUAAACUGGAAGCUGGCUGGCUGAUGCCUGGCUUCUGAGAGAUGACCAGCCAGCUUAUUGCUCCCUCUGCCCCCUUCCCCCACCAGGCAGCUCACUCCCUUUGGAAAAGUUGCCUCACGUCAAGACCCAUCAGCAUAAGAGACUAUUAAUGAGGAUGGGAAGAGACAGAGCAAAGAGGAAAAUACCACAACAAGAUAAAAACGGAUCAAUAGUGGAGCCAAACAGAGCAGGAGGUACUGAAAGCAAUUCACGAGCUGUCAACUUCUCAACAGACCCAGGGUUUCUGAUAAUCCCAGAUGGACACAGAAAGGAGAGAGAUGGACAAAAAGCCGGAGUAGCGUUCCAAGGGAAACAAAAAAGGAGGCGUUACCCAGCCAAAAUUCAUCCUCCAGGUUCCCAAAGCCAACACGGUACUCAGCCCAUUUCCGGAAAAAAUCAGUUUGGCCAUUCUGUCGCCUCUGGAAUACCUGUGAAGAAAGAGGGGGACAAAUGAAAAAGAAAAAUGCUAAGGAAAAUAAACUCCAAUGAAUAGAACUGCUGUAACUGAGCUUUAUAUCUGCAGUGACAGAGACACUCAGGUAAGGACCACUGCAGUAGAGAGCUCGGUAUUUGCACAGUGGUCAUGGCAGGAGAUGCUCGGAGCCCUUCUCUAAAGCACAGGGGCCCUUGAUGAAUAGGCUGGGGUGUGAUGUUGACACUAAUUUGCACCCCUGCAAUGUAGAAAGGAUUCAGGAUACAUAUCAAACCCCUGAUAGUCAAGGGAAAUAGGCUAGGCUCUCAAAUCCAUCUUUUCACACCAUGGCAUGCAGCAGAAAGCAUUUUUCACCAGAAGAACAGGACCCAUUUCAGAUCAGCCAGUAAUGUCAUCAUCUUGUUUCAGGCAAAGCAAGUGUGUGUCAUUCACUUUCCGAGCUGUUUAAGUGCUAAUUUCAU